rnacentral:lncRNA from 1 species
GGAGGCCAGCCCAGACUGCAUGGGGCACUUCCUGAGCGCUGGGAUCGAGGGCAUGUGCCACCACGCCCAGCUGCCAAUGUCUGUUCGGCCUUAAAAGGAGAUGCUCAUAUUUGAAAUUGCUGAUUUGGACAGUCUGAGAACCACAAUUCCUGAGGUCAACUAGGAGGAUGGGUGUUUUAAAAACUACACUCGUUGCUUUGCUCCCACUGAAGGUCAGGUCUUGACUUCAGAAACAUUCAUGAGGGAGGCAGGGCACAGCGGUGAAUGUGUCUCAUCCCAGCACUCUAGGAGGUUGAAGCAGGAGGACUGCAAGCUGGAGCUCAGCCUGGGAAAUUCAGCAAGACCCUGUUCAAAAUAUAAAGAGACAGGGUGUCACUACGAAGUUCUUGAACUCACUAUGUAGCUGGCCUUGAGCUCCCACCAAUCCUCCAGCCUCAGCC